rnacentral:rRNA from 1 species
UCAGGCCUAACACAUGCAAGUCGUACGAGAGUUUUUAACUCUAGUGGCGGACGGGUGAGUAACACGUGAGAAUUUGCCUUUAGGAGGGGGACAACAAUUGGAAACGAAUGCUAAUACCCCAUAUGCUUUCGAGUGAAAUGGAUUUUAUCCGCCUAGAGAGAAGCUCGCGGCUGAUUAGCUUGUUGGUAAGGUAAGAGCUUACCAAGGCGACGAUCAGUAUCUGGUUUGAGAGGACGAUCAGACACACUGGAACUGAGACACGGUCCAGACUCCUACGGGAGGCAGCAGUGGGGAAUUUUCCGCAAAGGGCGAAAGCCUGACGGAGCAA